AGGGUAUGAUACCGGCUCAGAACGAACGCUGGCGGCGUGGAUAAGACAUGCAAGUCGCAAGAGAAAGCGGUUUUCGGAUCGCGAGUAAAGUGUGGAAAGGGUCAGUAAUACAUAGAUAACCUACCCUUCCGAUUCGGCAUAACUUGCGAAAGCCGUGCUAAUUCCGGAUACGAUGCAACGACUUCGGUCGUGGUAUGAAAGGCCGGGAGCCCUUCGGGGUCCGGUCGUCGGAGGAGGGGUCUAUGCCCCAUCAGCUAGUUGGUGAGGUAACGGCUCACCAAGGCAAUUACGGGUACGGGGCCUGAGAGGGUGUUCCCGGACACUGGGACUGAGACACUGCCCAGACUCCUACGGGAGGCAGCAGUCGAGAAUCAUUCGCAAUGGGCGCGAGCCUGACGAUGCGACGCCGCGUGUGGGAUGGAGGCCUUCGGGUUGUAAACCACUGUCACAGGGGAAGAAUAGCCGGCAUACGAAUAAUGUGCCGGCCUGACGUUACCCUGAGAGGAAGUCACGGCUAACUCCGUGCCAGCAGCCGCGGUAAUACGGAGGUGGCAAGCGUUGUUCGGAAUUACUGGGCGUAAAGGGUGUGUAGGCGGUUUGUCAUGUUCGGUGUGAAAUACCCCGGCUCAAUCGGGGAACUGCAUCGAAAACUGGCAGACUUAGUGCAGGAGGGAAGAGCGGAAUUUCCGGUGGAGCGGUGAAAUGCGUAGAUAUCGGAAGGAACGCCAGUGGCGAAAGCGGCUCUUUGGCCUGUUACUGACGCUGAGGCACGAAAGCCAAGGGAGCAAACGGGAUUAGAUACCCCGGUAGUCUUGGCUGUAAACGAUGGGCACUACGUAGUGGGGCCUCUGACGGUCUCACUGCCGGAACUAACGCAUUAAGUGCCCCGCCUGGGGACUACGACCGCAAGGUUAAAACUCAAGGUAAUUGACGGGGGCUCACACAAGCGGUGGAGCAUAUUGCGUAAUCGAUCAACGCGAAGAACCUUACCAGGGCUUGACAUACACGGAUUAGGUUGUCGAAAGGCAACUGACGCCCUUGAGGUGGAACGUGAACAGGUGUUGCAUGGCUGUCGUCAGCUCGUGCCGUGAGGUGUCGGGUUAAGUCCCACAACGAGCGAAACCCCUAUCCCUAGUUGCCAGCGAGUCAUGUUGGGGACUCUAGGGAGACUGCCAGUGUUAAACUGGAGGAAGGUGGGGAUGACGUCAAGUCAUCAUGGCCCUUAUGUCCUGGGCUGCAAACGUGCUACAAUGGUCGGUACAGUGGGAAGCAAGACCGUGAGGUGGAGCCAAUCCCCCUAAAGCCGACCUCAGUACGGAUUGAAGGCUGCAACUCGCCUUCAUGAAGCUGGAAUCGCUAGUAAUCGCGAAUCAGCAACGUCGCGGUGAAUAUGUUCCUGAGCCUUGUACACACCGCCCGUCAAGUCACCUGAAUGGAUCGAACCCGAAGCCGCGAAGCCCUCGGGCCAGCGUCGAAGGUCCGGUUCGUGAGGGGGACUAAGUCGAAACAAGGUA
rnacentral:rRNA from 1 species